rnacentral:rRNA from 1 species
AUGGCCGAAUGCUUCAAUAGGGUGCUCAAAGGAGCACAUGGAUUACCCGUGACGGCAAUAGUUCAAUACACAUUUGACAAGAUGAAUGCGUACUUUCUAAAGUACUCAAUGGAAACAGAUGCACAGAUAGCGGGUGAGAACCCGCGCAAGUACAAGUACAAGUUCCCACCCAAGGUUGAUGAAUGGUUGGUAUUUAAAUCACGGAAGGCGGACUCAGAAGAAGCUAUAUUAUAUGACAAUGAAGAGUGGAAGUACGAAGUGAAAGAGCCAGGAGGAACCACAAACGAUGGCCGCCAACAUGGAGGUCGUGCUUUCGAGGUGUCGUUAACACAAUGUGAUUGCUCUUGCGGGAGGCCAUUGUUGCUUCAUCUUCCAUGCUCGCACUUGUAUACCGUCGGUCGCAUUAGGAAUGUGGACAUCAAUCACCCACGCACCAUGAGGGAGUCAGAGUUCUCAAUCAUGACGGUCAAGAAAACAAUGACCGGAGUACCAUGGUGUUCAACUAUGGCCGGAUCCAGAGUUGAAGGUUGUUAA